AUGACCUUGACCAUGUCGUCGCCCAUGACCAUGCUGAGCGACGCGUCGAUGGUGGAGGACACGUCGGAGCACCGGAAGUCGACGGACACGAGCGGCUCGUCGCAGACGUCGAGGAUGCCCUUGAGCUCGUUGGCGGCGGCGUCGCGGAACGCCUGGUUCACCUCCUCGGCGAGGGUCUUCUUGGAGACCUGCACCACGAGGUCGACGACGGACACGUUGGGGGUGGGCACCCGGAGCGCGAUCCCGUUGAGCUUGCCCUUGAGGUUGGGGAGCACCAGCGCCACGGCCUUGGCCGCGCCGGUGGAGGUGGGCACGAUGUUGAGCGCGGCGGCGCGGGCACGGCGCAGGUCGCGGUGGCUCGCGUCCAGUAGCCUCUGGUCGCCGGUGUAUGAGUGGGUGGGGAUGUCGCCCUUGCCGGGUGCGGUGAUGAGCACCUUCUUGGCGCCGGCCUCGAGAUGCUUGCCCGCGCCGGCGCGGUCGACGAAGACGCCGGUGCCCUCGAUGACGAGGUCGAUGCCCAUCUCGCCCCACGGCAGGUUGGAGGGGUUGCGGUCGGACACCACCUUGAUCACCUUGCCGUCCACGGAGAUGGCGUUGUCGCCCACGGGCUUGACGUCCGCGUCGAAGAUGCCCAGCGUGGAGUCGUACUUGAGGAGGUGGGACGCCUGCUUCACGCCUCCGGUGUCGUUGAUGGCGAUCACCUCCAGCGGCGAGCUGUCGCCGCGCCCGUGCCAGCACCGCAGGAAGUUGCGCCCGAUGCGCCCGAACCCGUUGAUCGCCACCUUGAGCUUGGCCUCCGUCGGCGCCUUCCGCGACCCGCCGCUGGUGCUCACCUGCAAGCACAGCACCGCCGCGUCACGCACACACGCUCCCAUGGCACGCGACCAAGCAAGCUACAUUCCACCGAUCAUGUCAUACCGCGUAUGUCCUGAAGGAGACCGCGGACAUGAAGUCGUCGGAGGUGGCAUUCCGCCGGAGCGGCAGCGACGACGAGCUCCUCAGCCCGGAGAACUCCAGCAUGCCCCCCUGGAUCGAGUUGGACGCAAAUCACUUACAUAA
rnacentral:rRNA from 1 species